rnacentral:rRNA from 1 species
CCCUUAGAUGUUCUGGGCUGCACGCGCGCUACACUGAAGCUAUCAACACGUUUUCCCUCCCUGAGAAGGGCGGGUAACCUUUUGAAUCAGCUUCGUGGUAGGGAUCGGGGCUUGCAAUUGUUCCCCGUGAACCAGGAAUUCCUAGUAGACGCGAGUCAUAAGCUCGCAUCGAUUAAGUCCCUGCCCUUUGUACACACCGCCCGUCGCUACUACCGAUUGAACGUUUUAGUGAGGCAUUUGGACCGACGCAUCUCAGUUUAACCGCUGGUUUGAGUUGGAAAGACUUCCAAACUUGAGCGUUUAGAGGAAGUAAAAGUCGUAACA